rnacentral:lncRNA from 1 species
GUUGCUAUACCUUCAACCUUUCGGAAUGUCUGAUCUGCCAUCUAGAGCUGAAUAUAUGUUGGUUUUAAGGGCAUGGUUCUGAACAAGAGCCGAUAGGUGACUGCGGCCAUUAUGUUGACGCCCGAUCCAGUGUCGCAAAGUGUGUUGACGGUUCUUAAGUAUCAAUUUUAAUUAUCAAAUAAACAAGAGAAAGGACCGAUAUGCAACCAACACC